CCUACGGGAGGCAGCAGUGGGGAAUAGUGCACAAUGGGGGAAACCCUGAUGCAGCGACGCCGCGUGAGUGAAGAAGGAUUUCGGUACGUAAAGCUCUAGCAGCAGGGAAGAAAAUGACGGUAACUGACGAAGAAGCCCCGGCGAACUACGUGCCAGCAGCCGCGGUAAUACGUAGGGGGCAAGCGUUAUCCGGAUUUACUGGGUGUAACGGGAGCGUAGACGGCAGCGCAAGUCUGGUGUGAAAUCCCCUGGCUUAACCAUGGAACUGCUUUUGAAACUGUGCAGCUGGAGUGCAGGAGAUGUAAUCGGAAUUCCUAGUGUAGCGGUGAAAUGCGUAGAUAUUAGGAGGAACACCAGUGGCGAAGGCGGCUUCCUUGACUGUAACUACCGUUGAGGCUC
rnacentral:rRNA from 1 species